rnacentral:rRNA from 1 species
AUGGACGGUCAUAGCUGCUUGGUUCACCUGAUCCCGUCUCGAUCUCAGAAGUUAAGCAAGCACACGUUUUGGGGUGUACUGUACUUUGUACGGGAAACUCAAAAAGCUGUCCACC